GACGAACGCUGGCGGCGUGCUUAACACAUGCGAGUCGAACGGAAAGGCCCUUCGGGGUACUCGAGUGGCGAACGGGUGAGUAACACGUGGGUGAUCUGCCCUGCACUUUGGGAUAAGCCUGGGAAACUGGGUCUAAUACCGAAUAGGACCACGCGCUUCAUGGUGUGUGGUGGAAAGCUUUUGCGGUGUGGGUUGGGCCCGCGGCCUAUCAGCUUGUUGGUGGGGUAAUGGCCUACCAAGGCGACGACGGGUAGCCGGCCUGAGAGGGUGACCGGCCACACUGGGACUGAGAUACGGCCCAGACUCCUACGGGAGGCAGCAGUGGGGAAUAUUGCACAAUGGGCGCAAGCCUGAUGCAGCGACGCCGCGUGAGGGAUGACGGCCUUCGGGUUGUAAACCUCUUUCACCAGGGACGAAGCGUAAGUGACGGUACCUGGAGAAGAAGCACCGGCCAACUACGUG
rnacentral:rRNA from 1 species